CCUCCAAAUUGGGCAAAGUGAGCCCUCGCAGCUUCCUCCUUCUUCCCCUCCGCUUGUCCCUUCGCCCACCAGCCGCCAGCCGCUGCCGGAGCGUCCACCGGUCUGCCGCCAUCGACCUCAGCGCCGGCGGUCUCAUGGUUGCCCGCUGGGGCGACAAAUCGGCCACCCCCUUCAUCUCCUUCUCUGCCAAUCGCCGACCUCCCCUUCGCCGUCUGGUUUUCGAUUAAGUUUGUGGCCGUCUUCCCACCACUCCGGGUAGCCGAUCACUUGAAAGCAGGUUGGGUGAUUGAUCGUCUCUGGUUUUGACGUUUGCCAGAUUUUGGUCGAAGGUUUGGGAAAGGUAUUGGAACGAUGAUGAGACUUUUCUGAGUUCCAACAAUCGUUUUUUAUUUUUGGAUUUAGGAUCGAACUCUUGCUCGUGAUACCAUAUUGAAUUGUAUUGGGGAAAAUGUAUCAAUUGUAUUGAAUGAAUAAUUACGUUUAUAGUGAUCACCAUUUAUAAAGAGGAUGAAGUAGUGAGCAAGAAAUACACACUAUACACCUAAAAAUAUACACACUCUAUAUGGAAAUAAAACUCUAUAUGGAAAUAGGUCUUUGCAAGAUGGUUCACAUGUGGGAAAAGCAUUCCCAAUUAUUUUGACACAUACUUUGAUUAUCACUUCCAAAAUAAUUACAGUAAAGUGAAAUGGAUUAAUUUACACUAACGAACCGAAUAACCUCAUAAUCACCCAGGCAGAAAAGUUUCACAAAAUGUGAGCAGCAAGAGGCGUGAUCACUUUGGUCCCCUGGCGCAUGAAUUUGCAUAGCCGCAAUACCGUUGUUUAUAGUUCUUAUUGAUUCUACCAUAGCAGUUGUUCAUGUAAGGUUUUAUUUCCGGUUGCGCAGAAGGAUCUCGACGGCAAAAUAGCCCCAGUAGUAAGUGAGUUGGUCUGCUGCAGAACCCUUCUCGCUGCUUCAGUAUCCAUCGAGAAUUCCUCGGCCUCAAGCGUGUUGUCGGUGAUUCUGAAGCAUUCGCUAUUUUGCACUUGUGUGGUGAGGAGGAGCAGAGAUACAGCUGCCAUUGCUGCCAAAAGGAGAGAAACUGUAGUAUUUGCUAGUGGACGAGUUUGUUUACAGCAUUUUUUGGAAAUUUUGUUGAUAAGGAUUAGGAACGGAUGGCUAUUAGUAAGGCUCUUAAGUCUUGGUCUUUGUUGGCUAAAUUAA